rnacentral:rRNA from 1 species
CACGUAGGGGGCGAGCGUUGUCCGGAUUUAUUGGGCGUAAAGAGCUCGUAGGCGGCUCAGUAAGUCAGGUGUGAAAACUCCAGGCUCAACCUGGAGACGCCACCUGAUACUGCUGUGGCUAGAGUCCGGUAGGGGAGCAUGGAAUUCCUGGUGUAGCGGUGAAAUGCGCAGAUAUCAGGAGGAACACCAAUGGCGAAGGCAGCUCGCUGGGACGUGACUGACGCUGAGACGCGAAAGCGUGGGGAGCAAACAGG